AUGGAGAUGGAGGGCCGGGGUCUGUCUGACCUGUUCAGGAACACCAGCGAGGAGAUCUUCCUCAAGGCGGUGAUGGAGAACUCGAUCGGAGUGGCGGCGCCGCCGAGCAUGGAGAUGAUGGGGUUCAGAAACAUGUCGCAGAGCUUCAGAGAAGACAGCGAGGAGUUGUUCAACAGCUGGCUCAUGAAUGGAGAGAUUCCAGGCUUUAGUCACCUGAAUAAUCGGCCUCGACAACCAUCUAGGUUGUCAUCAGAGGCAGGUGCCUUUCCUAAUCAACAACAUGACAUUGCUCGACAAAAUUUUCUCGCCGACAACUUGAUCCCUGAGAAUUGUGCAGUUCCUCCUGAAUACACGAAUAACCAUAACCAGCAACCACUCAAGAAUGCAGCAGAGAAAGGGAUGCAAGCAAGUGAUCUACUUUUGGCAAAGACCUGGUUUCACUGCACUCAACCAAUGACUAGAAGCAGAUCUUCAGAACUGAGGAGGCGAUACGCUGCAAUGCAAAGUAAUGUGUCACCAAUAACUACAGGAACUAUGAGAGCAGCAAACCAGUUGAGACUAGAUUUUACCAACACAAAUGCAGCAAAUAGUGCCCCAAUGGGCAGCACUCCACUUCAGACUUCGACAUUUGUAUCUCCUUCAUGUUCAUCGACUUCCCCCUUGGACAAUCCUCAUAUGCUUGCGCAAGAUACUGUUACAUCGGUGGUGAGCAUGCUCAAGGAUACGCUCGAACGUAAGAAGCUCAGUAGCCCUGCCAACAGAGACAUGCCACAUGGCAACCCUUUUGGGUUUUACGACAGCCAACAGUUUCAACACAACAUUCUUGGAGGAACAGAUAUGUUCCCCCUGGUGACAAAUGGACAUGUUCAGGACUCCCUGAUGCUUCCUGAAGUCGAGAGACCCACGGAACCAAACGCCGAGAACUUUGUUGCUCCCGCAAGCCAGAUUUGGAUCAGUGCAGCGUCUCAUGAACCUUCACAGAGUGGAUCGUCUAAUGCUCUGACGGCUCAAUCAGCCGGUUUUGAAGUGUGUGAUGAGCUACGUCCUAUGGGGCAAGGACUGUCUGUGUGUGAGAGCACUAGGAAAAAUGUUGCAAAUGGGACAGCUGACUGCAGAUCAAACGGCAAAGAUUACAGAGAGAAGGUACUAAAAGAUAAUUUGAAGGACGAAAGAAAGAGAGUGGCCCUGACACGAAUGGGAUCCAUCUCAUCAGAACAAGCAGUUGAUGGAGGAGAUCCUACGAAGAAACGCAGGGUUGAGCGCACACGCAAAAUGGCAGAAGCAAAGGAAAGAAGUUCCACCCCAGUAAUACCAACCGACAUGCAAGCGGUUCUCAAGCGCUGCGAAAACCUGGAGAAGGAGGUCAGGUCACUAAAGCUUAAUUUGUCAUUCAUGAACCGGAAGGAUUCAGAACAGACGAAGCAGAUCGAGGAUCUUCAGAAGCAAAACGAGGACAUGGCGGAAGAGAAGGAGAGGCUGAUAGAGGAGAUCGAACGGAUGGCCUCCGACUCCACGGCAUGA
rnacentral:rRNA from 1 species